AUGGCUGCGCCCUGUGGCUCGGAGCUGCCCGCCAACUCGCCGCUAAAAAUUCCGAAGAUGGAGGUGCUCUCCCCGGCUUCUCCUGGCGACCUGAGCGACGGGAACCCAUCGCUGUCCGACCCUUCCACGCCGCGGGGAGCCUCCCCUCUCGGGCCGGGCAGCGCGGCGGGCUCGGGGGCCGCGGCGUCCGGGGGUCUCGGGCUGGGGCUGGGGGGCCGCAGCGCCGCCUCGUCCUCGGUCUCCUUCUCGCCCGGCGGCGGCAGUGGCGGGGCUGCGGCGGCCGCUGCCGCCGCCUGCCGGGGCAUGUCGUGGACGCCGGCCGAGACGAACGCGCUCAUCGCUGUGUGGGGCAACGAGCGGCUGGUGGAGGCGCGGUACCAGCAGCUGGAGGGAGCCGGCACGGUAUUCGGCAGCAAGGCCCCUGGGCCGGCCAUGUACGAGCGCGUGUCCCGGGCCCUGGCCGAGCUGGGCUACGAGCGGACCCCGUCCCAGUGCCGGGAGCGCAUCAAGCUGGUUCGAUGCCCAGACCUGAAUGCUGUGCUCCAGCUGUGGCCUCACCGGUGCUGACUAGAGAGGAAGAGCCACCUUCAUAGCUUACAUGUGAUUCCUCUGCUUAUACAACCCAAUACUGGAUUUACUUACUUUGGCAAGAUAGCUGCAUUGUGCACUGUAUUUAAUGUUCCGUGUACUGUAACCCUGGGUCUUUCUCUGCAUUGCUGCCGUCACACCCUCAAUCCUGCCAAUCUAAACCUUCUGCCUUUGUUUACCUGCCCUCCUCCCUUAGACUCCCCAUGCAUUCAUGCACAAUGAAUGUUGUCUUUUUAUUCUCUGAUUCCCUUUUACUUUAAUCUUAAACUCUGGCAAGACUUUCACUCUGUCCUAUAAAUUUUCAGUGGUCAGCCAACCCUCCUCCCCCUGCUUAGGUAAUGGAACAUCCCUCAAGCCUUUUCUCGGGUUCUUUCUGUUUGUAGCCCUGAAACCUAAGCAUUUGGUAUGGUGGAUUGAGUAAACAUUCACCUGGCAUUUCUGAAUCGCAACGACUCUGGUUUGGCCCCCUGAAGUUGUUACCUUGCUUAAUUCUGUCUAGAUUUCCUUGACUCUUUAUGACGUCUGUCAUGGUGGAUAGGAUAGUCUUACAGCCCCUCCUCCAGGGAGAUGAAAACGUACUAUCAACAUGAAUGUACCAGAGAGAUUUCUCACAGUAAGGAAGUUAACAAUGAUCUUUUAAUAGAAUAGCCUUUAUAGUCUUAGCGUUCUCCAUUGGAGGUGAACUUGGCGUACAUUUCUGAGGUGAGGGAGGUGAGUGAAGCAUUGAAGUGAGGUCCCUCAGUGUCACGUGGACUGUGCUGUACCAAGCAUGCCAGCCAGUGGAUCUUGGUGGAUUGUUAGCUGACUCAAAGGGGAGCUGCAGCCUCAUCGUUCCUGGGCUCUGGAGCAGUAUGAUCUCUGAUUUAGAGAAGGUUUUUAGUUGGUUUGUUUAGUAUUGUUGGCACAGCCGCCCAGUCUUUUAAUGCUAUGCUUUGAUUAAGCAUUUAAAGGCUAAUGUAUUGUAUAAUCUUUUCUGUGGGUGGUAAGAGUUGGAAAGUCUCUGUAUGUCCUUUUUAUCUAUGUGUAAGCUCUCAAGUAAAUCCUAAUGGGCCUAAGGGUAGCAGUUGAGCCGAUGUUUGAGUCCCUUCCCCCAUCUUAGUGGAUAUGCCCUGUUUAAACAGACUGCCCUUGAAUUUGUGGUAAUUAUUACACCUACAAAGUACUGCUUACAUGUAUUUAUAUCUUGAAGGAGAGAAAGUUGGUUUGGAAAUCUUUUUAAUGCAAUUUCAGUAUGUCAAGUUAGACAUUACCAAACACCUGGUAGAUGUCAGCUUAUUGUACUAAUUUUAAACAUGUGUUACAGGUGUAUACUACAAGUAAAAAGUGUUUAUAGCUGUCAGAGAUUGCUGGUUUCAGUAGUCACAGUUACAUAACCAAAGAAAAUUGUAAGCUCAAUUUGGUGGCUUUAAAAAAAUGUCUUUUCUCUGGUUUUUCCUCAUGUAUAUUAUAAAAACUUGGUGAAUCUAUUUUUGAUGCAAAUAAAUGUUUGCAAAUAUAGGAAGAAAAUGGUAGAGUUGCUGUGCCUUUGUCACUUCCUUGUAAGUAUGGCACCCUUUGUGGAAGGGAAUGCUAGUUUAGUUCCUUGGCUUCUGGGGUGACCCUCAGUGACCGAACUGAGUGGACUUUGCUGUUGUAGGGAGCCAGUUAAGUGGUGAGAAGGGUAAUGGUUUCCAUCUCCAUUUAUGGUCUUAGGAGGGGAAUGGACAGGGUUGGGACUCUCUAUUUACAGUCUUUGGCGGAGUCAAGAGUGGUUGGGUGUUCUUGGAGGCAGAAACUAGACUUUGUAAGAUAAAAAUAAAUUGUCAGAGGCUGUUUGCGAUUCAAAUUCCGAUCUCUGAGGAGGGCGAGGGUUCUGGGAAAGGGGGGUAUGUGCGAAGUCAAAUGAUAUUUGCAAUGCUGUCUCUUUCCAUUUGGAGAUUUGACCAUGACACACAUUUUCCAAGUUUUUGUUUCUGGAUUGUUUAAGAAAGUUUUGUCCUGUGGGGUCAAAAUUCUCUGUUACAAAAAGAAAUGAUUUUUAAAGAGUUUCUGCAAAGCCUUGGGUUUCUGUAAGGAUCAUUUGAGGUGGUGGGAGAGAGUCUUUGAAAGGCAGAGUAGGGUAGAUGCUCAUUUAGGGGUCCAAGCUGCAGGCUGGUGACUGUCUGAGGGAGAUCGCAUGGCCCAUGCUUUUAUUAUUCUUUUUGCUUAUUUGGAUUUCUGGCCUCAGGGAUCAGAUUUUUAAAGAGUCUUUGAGGAAGUGUUGUGUAGAUUGUCAGCUGUGAUUUAAAGAUCCUGUGCUUCAUGGAGAUCCGUAAAGUUCCAGACUUGUUUUAGUUUGGUGAGAAUAGGUCAUGUAUUGGCUGAUGGAGGAUAAUCUCUCCUUUAGGAGAGUCUUAUAGUCUUGACAAUGCUUAUACAUUAGGUUAGAUAUAAACUAGUUUUAGCAGUUAAGUUAGAAAAUAUUUAGGAGCCAUUAGGGAAAGGGGGUUUUGUCUCAGGGAAAGGGGGUUUGGGGGCAAAUUCUGAGUGAAACCCUGUAACAAAGAAGAGCCAUUGGAAGGGGAAAGCAAGGCAGGCAGAGACUGCACAGCCUGAAUGUGGCUGGGUGUUUAAGUUGAGACUAAGUCCUUGGUGUACUUCUGAUGUCUCUGGUAAGACAGCCUGAGGUGUACUAUUAAUUUCAGGAAGUGGGCCAGUCUGAAAUAUAUAGUAGAAAUAAAGACCAUAGAAAAGGAAAGAGUUGAACAAGGCAGAAGGUUCUCCAAGUUCUGUUUAGGAGCUUGCAUAAUGCAGGUACUUGCUGUGCAGUGACAGAGAAAGACGCGGCUCUCUUCCUCACCCUCUCUGAGAAGGAUUGUCAGCCUGGUUUGUUGGUUUGUUUAGCUGGCAGUGUGAGUUGGUAGAUUAGUAAAGUAUAGGUAUUAAUAAUGUACUGUUUCUUGGUCGUUGUGUCUGAGACUAGGGACUUAGGACAGACAUUAUUGAUUUGAUUGCUGCUUCAGCUCUAGACCUUUUUACCAUGGGUAGAGUGAGUUAGGAAGGAACAGACUCUGUGAGUGAUCUGUUUUGUUAGCUACUUUGUCUAGACAGCUGUUUUCCCUUGUUCUUAACUAAGAGUGAGGAAGGUGUUUUCCACUUGGGGAAAUUCUUCUUUCUGUCCUCUUUCCCUCACGUUUCCCGAGAUCUGAAGAGC